rnacentral:tRNA from 1 species
GAAGGUGUGGCAGAGAGGUUUAUUGUAUCUGAUUUGAAAUCAGAAGUGUUUUACACCGUAGGUUCGAAUCCUACUACCUUCU